AUUGAUAGUAAGCCUAGAGAGCAUUUGGAGCAAUCCGAUAGACGACUGAAGGAGCUCAUUAUCGAAAAAGUCUGGAGGGUACGAUAGGAAUUCAUCCGCUGAAGGAAUCUGGAGGACACUGUGAAAGGUCGACUGCUUGAGGAGUUCGGAUGAUACUGUGGAAGCUCGAACGGUCGGGGGAGUUCAGAAAGACACCGCACA
rnacentral:lncRNA from 1 species